CCUAUGCUCUCUCUCUCUCGCCGUCUCUCCCAAAUGGAGAGUUAAAGAUUUUUUUUCUUUUUUGUCGACAAAGUCGAAGAGAUGAUAAGAGGAAGAGAAGAAGGCAAAGAAUUUUGUUCAAGCAUCGUGUAUAUGCUAAGAAUGGUUUUGGAUUCUUCUCUGGUUAUCAGCACGAUUAUAAGAUGAUAAAACUCAGUCUAAACUUAGUUAAAAGAAAAAAGAAACAAAAACCCAAAACCAUAUUUUACCAUUAAGUUUGAUCUUCGGCUGAAGCUAUGGCACAAAGUAAUUGGGAAGCUUACAAGAUGAUUGACGUUUAUAUAUACGUAUGAUCAUUUGGUGAAGAAAAAACUUCAUAAUACUGCAAAAUCGUUUAUGAUUGAAGGAAAGGUUUCACCUGAUCGAGCUGGUACGAUGAAAUGAGGCAGAAGUUCAAUCGAAUACAUUGCUGGAGGUGCUACCCAUAACUCAAUCAAACUGGCCCAGUGGAUGCUUCAAACUCUUUAGGCAACCAGUUACAUGGGAUCCAUUGGAAAGGACAAAUAGGGAGAGGCAAUGAAGGUUGCUACCACAGCUGGUGUCAAUGUCCACUCUUUUGGAGAUGAGUCAAAACCUACCAGAACUUGCCGUGUAUGUGUUCUUGGUGGAGAAAGGUCGCUCAUUGCAAAUCUUUCUGCUGCAAGCUGCUACAAGGUUGAACACUUGCAUAAGCAUGAGUACUGGGCUCUAGUUGGGAAUGCUAAGUUCUACUACAUUGAUGGAUUCUUCGUCACAAUAUAUCACCAUAAUCCAUUCAGUUGGUAUGUGAACAUGCAGCUGCUAACAACAAGCUAAGAAGACAUGAUCCUUUAUGAGAACCAGACAUGUCAUAUUUUAUAAUGUCUUCUCUUUGAUCAGAUUUCAACACAUUUCUCUACUGUUUCUUUCUAACAGUAGCAAGAAUCAAGGUUUACUGACAUCUGAAAUAUCUAUCUACUCUCAGUUAGUACAUGAUUUUUUCUAUUAAGAAUUUUUUUAUUAAGAAUCUUAGUUAUUGGAUAAGUUGAGGUUUGUUUAGUUUUAGCAACCAGAUGGAAUCUUAUAGAAUCGUCAGUUUGGUAGAUAACAUCCAUGUUGUUUCUUCUUACGUUCUUUGUUUUUAAUUUUGUGUAAAAAAUCAAUUUGUGUGACAUGUUUUUGUUGGGUAUAUUGUAAUGUUCUCUGUUGAACAAA